UUCUUCUUCUUCUUCUUCUUCUUCUUCUUCUUCUUCUUUCUUCUUCUUCCUCCUCCUCCUCCUCCUCUUCUUCUUCUUCUUCUUCUCAGGGUUUCUCCACAUAUCCCUGGCUGUCCUGGAACUCAUUCUGUAGACCAAGUUGGCCUCGAACUCAAAAAUCUGCCUGCCUCUGCCUCCUGAGUGGUGGAAUUUAAGGUGUGUGCCACCACUGCCCGGCUGCACACCACAUUCCAUCAGUUCCCCAUUCCUUUGCCUCUCAAGUCAGAUUUCAUCUUGCUGGAUAUUUGCAGAUAGUCUGGCUAGUAUAGCUGUGUGUGCUGCCAACAGCCCGAGUCCCUGGCCGGAGCCCAAGGAACCCUCUCAGCCACCCCCGCAGAUGCUCAGUGACCUGAAUAUGCCCCGGUGCCUGGUGUGAUGGGACAAGUGAUUAACCCCAAGACCGUACGGAGCAGCCCCUCUGAAAGCAACAGAGGCAAAAAGUCACGAGUGUGGACCCCUCUUCGGCUGUUGUCGUCUAACGAAAGUCGUUUACCCUUCCAUCAACACCAGUUAAUACUUUCUGAACGUGGCUUUGGAUUAGCCCUGCCUCAUGCUUUUCAGAAGUCUAAGCGAGCACACAAGAAUCAAGACAGCUAAUUAGCAAAUAUUUACGGAGUUCCUCUUCAGCCACGGCAUUUUUCUGGGUGCUGGUAGACCAGAACUCAGAAGGUCAGCAUCACCGUGGAAUAGAGAGAGCCUGAGUCCACACACCCCCACACCCUGCCCCGACACUCCCUGUUCUCUUAGCAUAAUGAACUUUCCAACCAGGAACUGUAUCCGCCCUCCAAGGAGUGUCUGGGAAUGUUUGAGAGCGUUUGUUGUUUGCUUUUGGCUGUGACAAACCAGCAUUUAUUGGGUUGCUGUGCAGGGAUGUUAACGCAUUGACAGAGUUCCAGUCCGUUCCUCACAACCCAAAACAUUCCUUCUCGCUCGAAAUGCCAAUAAAAUUCCAGUGAAAGCUGGAC
rnacentral:lncRNA from 1 species